ACCUCUCCUGCAUUGCAGAUGGAUUCUUUACCACUGAGCCAACAGUGAAGAGGUGACUUAUAAACAAACCUUGAAGUAUAAAUGGGGGACAAGAAGUGUGGGACAUGGUGAAUUAAGUGCUUGGAGAGAAGGUUGUUACAUGUCUUGGCUACUGUGAAUAAGGCUGCAAUGAAGAAGGGGGUACAGAUUUCCUCCAGGUGCGUACUCAGAAAUGGAACUGCCAGAUCAUAUGAACAAUGGACACAGUGAGAGCUUUAUCUUUUUGGGCUCC